AAGCGGCAAGAGCUCAAAUUUGAAAUCUGGCUCUUUCAGAGUCCGAGUUGUAAUUUGUAGAGGAUGUUUCGGACACGACCCCGGUUUAAAUUUCUUGGAACAGAAUGUCAAAGAGGGUGAGAACCCCGUCUUGAGCCGGCGGUACGGUCUAUGUGAAACUCCUUCGACGAGUCGAGUUGUUUGGGAAUGCAGCUCAAAAUGGGUGGUAAAUUUCAUCUAAAGCUAAAUAUUGGCCAGAGACCGAUAGCGCACAAGUAGAGUGAUCGAAAGAUGAAAAGCACUUUGAAAAGAGAGUUAAACAGUAUGUGAAAUUGUUGAAAGGGAAGCGCUUGCAACCAGACUUGAGCGCGGUGGUUCCCCCUUCCUUCUGGUUGGGCUAUUCCACCGUGUCCAGGCCAACAUCAGUUUUGGCGGCCGGUUAAAGGCUCUGGGAAUGUAUCUAGUCCUUCGGGGCUAGACUUAUAGCCCGGAGCGUCAUGCGGCCUGCUGAGACUGAGGAACGCGCUUCGGCUCGGAUGUUGGCGUAAUGGUUGUAAGCGACCCGUCUUGAAACACGGACCAAGGAGUCUAACAUCUAUGCGAGUGUUAGGGUGUCAAACCCUUACGCGCAAUGAAAGUGAACGGAGGUAGGAAGGCUUAAGCCUGCACUAUCGACCGAUCCUGAUGUCUUCGGAUGGAUUUGAGUAAGAGCAUAGCUGUUGGGACCCGAAAGAUGGUGAAC
rnacentral:rRNA from 1 species